ACCUGUUAAAGACAACAGCUAUUAAAAUGGUGACAGAGGGUACAGAAGAAUUCCUUCUAUGCAUCAGAAAUUGUACAACACUAUUCCUUGUGGCAUCGCAGCAUAACAAUUUUAACAAAGUAAGUGAUACCAGACCAUUCCUCCGAAGUGUCUUGUUGAACGUAGAAGAUCAUAUUUGGCAUGUUUAUCAAUGUCCUCAUAUGUCUGAUGAUGAACCUACCCAGAAUGAGAUUUUAGUUUAUAAUCCUGUUAACCUCCAAAUCUUGCUGAACUGCCAGAAGAGUUAUAAAGAUUUAUCUUUGCAACACCUGCAAAGGUCUAGAAUAGUGCUGACAGCACACAGAUGGCCUCAAAGCAAUGUCAAACCUAGGUUAUUGUAUGUAAAAGUCUUAAUUUUAGAUAACAGCGCAUUGAGAUAUCCUAAUUCUAGGAGGUAAAUUAAUUAGAGGGAAAUACAGUCACAACUAAUCCUUUCAUUACUGUGUGAAAAUGUUAGUUUGAAGCCUUUCGUCUACUCCUUAGCUAUGCUCAAGUGACAGGAUCUACACACUAAGCUUUGAGGAAAAAAAGCAGGAAGGAAGCAGAUGUAUGCUUGUCAUAUCUAUGCAAGGAACCAGCAGAGCACCUGCAGUCUCAGACCUCAAAGCUUCAAUUGAUGCUGUGAGGUAAAAUGUGUUAAUAGUUCAUGAAAAAAAUUUUUUUUAGAAGUCAAAUUUGCCUUUUUCAACUAUAUCUACUUAAGCUUCUUUUUCACACUAUAUCCCAGUUUGAAUAAUAAAAACAGACAAUUACUCUUUGGUUUGUAAAUCAGUUUCACUUUUAAGUUCUGACAUAGCAGGAAGCUUCAAUGUUUGGGUUAUGGGAAUGGUUUAACGUGGAUUUCAAGGAACUGCUGUGGUAAGAUGCUAUUCAGUGUAAGUGUCCAUCAGGCUCAAAAUAACUAAUCUUACAGUAGAGUAUAGGAAAGGUUAAGAAGGGAAACACUGCUAAAUAUGGAACUAUGUUCUUGUACAUUUUCAAUGAACACAAGUUUUACAACUAUAUCGUGCACUUGAAUUAAGAAUACAAGUUCCAAGAGUUAAACAAAAUGGAGAGGUAGAACAUUAAAUUCUUUAUUCCAACUGGGAGUUACUGAGCACUUGGCAAUUUUGAAGAUCAGGCCACAGGCAUGGCUUGAAGUUAGGAAUUAAUAUUUAUAAAUCUUAACUUGUACCCCUAAAUAAUUUCAAGUAGUUAAUACUGACAAAAGUACCACUUACUUUUUUCACUUGGAAUCUUAAGGUCAAUUUGUGUCUGCUCCAGUCAAAUUUUGUAAAUAUAAGAUAACUCUACUCAUUUGAGUUGUCUUACUGAAGUCAAUGGGACUAUUAUACAAAUAAAAUUACACACAUGCCUAACUGUAUGCAGGAGAAUAUCUUAAUGUUAACAGUAUAAAAUUCAAUAUUCAUAUUUCAAAGCUUAUAUUUUUGCUGGUUCAUUGCUCACUACGGUUAAGUGACACUAAUUUAUACUUACAAAAAUUUUCUGGGAAUCUCAUCACUGUAAGUAGUUAAGAGAUUUUUAGUUCGCUUAAUUUGUGUAAUUGACAACACUGUCAAUCUGUGUGGGUCUUUCACAUAGCCACAAUGGAGAGAAAAAUAUUGACAAAGAGCCUAUAGCUGGGGUAAGUGUAGUAUCUGAAGCCAUUUUUAACGCAUUACAUUCACUAGAUAUCAAGUUGGUAGUGUCCCUUUAACUUACCAGAAUUUUGUACAUAUUAUACAAUUUUGUUUAUGUUCACUAAAGUUGAAUUUGUUUUGAAAUGGUAAACAUCUUGUAUAGCAAUGUUACAAAAAGAAAAUGUGAAAAUAUAGAAUCAGAGUUAGAUACAA